GAGAGAAUUUAUAACCACUGGCCUCUGUCCGAGAACACAGAAGAAAAUGAAGCCAGGCAAACAACAGAGAAAAGUGAACCACAGAAAAACAAACUCGAAUGAAACUGCUUAACAAUCCUACAGCGCAAGCCCAGCAGUCCUGGAGAUACCAUCAUGCAGAGCUACCUCUAAUCUUUUGCAGCUCACCCAGGAGCCUCAGACUGAAGAGAAUUCCUCCCCAGGGCAUUCAACACCUGCCGGACCAGGCUGACAACAUUCAAGAGGAGGGUGUUCUUUUAAGAACAUACAGUGUGGAAAAGAAGAGCUGGAAAAUUCUCAAAGACUCUUCUCAUGUUAGCAGCCAUGUUUCUGCAAUUAUGUUUUAGAAAGCAUUCAUCUGCAAAAAUAAUUACAAGGAGAAUGUACAAUGAGAA